GACGAACGCUGGCGGCGUGCUUAACACAUGCAAGUCGAACGGAAAGGCCCUGCUUGCAGGGUACUCGAGUGGCGAACGGGUGAGUAACACGUGGGUGAUCUGCCCUGCACUUCGGGAUAAGCCUGGGAAACUCGGUCUAAUACCGGAUAGGAGCCAUUUUUAGUGUGAUGGUUGGAAAGUUUUUUCGGUGUAGGAUGAGCUCGCGGCCUAUCAGCUUGUUGGUGGGGUAAUGGCCUACCAAGGCGGCGACGGGUAGCCGGCCUGGGAGGGUGGACGGCCACAUUGGGACUGGGAUACGGCCCAGACUCCUACGGGGGGCAGCAGUGGGGAAUAUUGCACAAUGGGCGGAAGCCUGAUGCAGCGACGCCGCGUGGGGGAUGACGGCCUUCGGGUUGUAAACUCCUUUCGCUAGGGACGAAGCUUUUUGUGACGGUACCUAGAUAAGAAGCACCGGCUAACUACGUG
rnacentral:rRNA from 1 species